rnacentral:lncRNA from 1 species
CCGCGCCGCCCGCCGCCCCCACACCCACCUGCGCCCCCGGGGGUCCCGGGCCCCCCUUCCUUUGUUCUUCCCGCUAUUUGCAUGAGGAUUAUCUAAUGACGCAGCAAGGCUCGCCACAACGUGACCGUCGCCAUUUUUCUGUUUUUAUUCUAUCUCUGCCAUGUGAUAGAUGGGGGGGAGGGGGGGGAGGUUGGAAAAGGGAGAGAGACAGGAUUAAAAAAAAAAAAAAAACUUCCGGGUCUCAUGACCGGGUAGGGAGAAAAACAAAAGGGAGACGAGACACAACUCCAGGGGAAGGGUGUGUGUGCGCGCCCUCCCCGCCUCUGCUCCGGCGGCCGGCCAGGAGCAUCCUCCCACCUGGGGACCCGGAUCGCACCGCUCGCCGUGGCGGUCGCCUGUGCCGGCCCCACGCCCGCCGCCAACGCUCUGCGAAGCUGUCAGCUCGGUCCCUCCUCGUCGCCUCCACUUGCCGGUCCACCCCAGAGCUCGCGCUCGCGUUCCGGGACAGGCAGGCCGUUCUGGGUCCCGUGUUCACGGUGGCUGAAGAGACAGUGUGUUUGGGAGCUCUGCCACGUUUUUCGACUCCGAAAGGUUGGUGA